rnacentral:rRNA from 1 species
CGGAGGAUCCAAGCGUUAUCCGGAAUCAUUGGGUUUAAAGGGUCCGUAGGCGGUCUAGUAAGUCAGUGGUGAAAGCCCAUCGCUCAACGGUGGAACGGCCAUUGAUACUGCUGGACUUGAAUUAUUAGGAAGUAACUAGAAUAUGUAGUGUAGCGGUGAAAUGCUUAGAGAUUACAUGGAAUACCAAUUGCGAAGGCAGGUUACUACUAAUGGAUUGACGCUGAUGGACGAAAGCGUGGGUAGCGAACAGGAUUAGAUACCCUGGUAGUCCACGCCGUAAACGAUGGAUACUAGCUGUUGGGCGCAAGUUCAGUGGCUAAGCGAAAGUGAUAAGUAUCCCACUGGGGAGUACGUUCGCAAGAUG